rnacentral:lncRNA from 1 species
CUCUCAGCCCAGCCACAACAACAUAAGGACUGAGGGUGAUAGUGGCAGUGGGGGCUGUUUGAGUGAUAGAGACAGAGAGAUUGGGGCAGAUUAAAAGAGAAAGAGAGGGAAAGAGAAAUGGAGAGGGAGAGAAAGAGGGGCGCUUUCACAGUUGCGACAUGAAUCGGCCUGCUGCUGGGGUUGCAGCAGGCGGCGGUGCGGCGUACCCCCCCGAAACCCGUCGCCAAGACCUCACAAGUGACAUGGACCUGGGCCCGCGCGGGGCUCCAUUCACUGACCCUAGCAGCUGAGGACCUGAGCCCUAGGACCAUGCCUCAGGACUACCUGGCCUGAUGACUCCUUGCUGUCCCCAGUCCACCUGGGUGUGCUGCUGCUCCAGUUUCAACUGUACUGGAACCCUGACCUGUUCACCGGACGUGCUACCUGUCCCAGACCUGCUAUUUUCAACUCUCUGGAGACAGCAGGAGCGGUAGAGAUACUCUGAAUGAUCGGCUAUGAAAAUCCAACUGACAUUUACUCCUGAGGUGCUGACCUGUUGCACCCUCUACAACCACUGUGAUUAUUAUUAUUUGACCCUGCUGGUCAUCUAUGAACAUUUGAACAUCUUGGCCAUGUUCUGUUAAAAUCUCCACCCGGCACAGCCAGAAGAGGACUGGCCACCCCUCAUAGCCUGGUUCCUCUCUAGGUUUCGUCCUAGGUUCUAGCCUUUCUAGGGAGUUUUUCCUAGCCACUGUGCUUCUACACCUGCAUUGGUUGCUGUUUGGGGUUUUAGGCUGGGUUUCUGUACAGCACUUUGUGACAUCAGCUGAUGUAAGAAGGGCUUUAGAAAUACAUUUGAUUUAUUGAUUUAUUGAUUGAUUGAUUGAUUGAUUGAUUGAUUGAUUGAUUGAUUGAUUGAUUGUGACUGUCACAGUUGUCGUAGUGAUGAGACCAAAACGCAGCAGGUAUGUGUAUGCUCAUCUUGACGUUUUAAUAAAUUCAAAAUGAACACCAAAAUAACAAAAGAACGAACAAUCAACAAAACAGUCUGGCAAGGCACAAGGCUAAACACAGAACAAUCUCCCACAAAUGACAAACACACCCUAAUAUAUGGGACUCUCAAUCAAAGGCAAAUAGACAACACCUGCCUUCAACUGAGAGUCCCAACCUCAAUUAACCAAACAUAGAAACAGACACACUAGACUAAACAUAGAAUACAUGAAAAUCAAACAGUGCCCAAAAACCCCGGAAUACUUAAAUCAAAUGCCCCUUCAACAAACACACCACCCCGAACCACAUAAAACGAAUACCCUCUGCCACGUCCUGACCAAACUACAAUGACAAUUAACCCUUAUACUGGCCAGGACGUGACAGUGACUAAAAUGUGACUAAAAUGAAAGGGAAUUUAGUUGACUAAAAUGGCCCAGUGUUUUCAUCAUUUUGACAAUAACUAGACUAAAUCAUAUUCAAAUAACAAAAAUGUGACUAAGACUUAAUGAUAUUUCAGUCAAAAUGGCUAAGACUACAUUUUUUAAAAAGAGAGCCAAAAAUUACACUGGACACAUGUGCUGCCCUUCAACAAGCCUGAACGCUUUCUGAUAUUUGGGAGUUCCAUCCUCUCUGUUCCUGUCUGGGCCAGGGCAGAAAUAUUCCCUGGAUACUCUGCAAAAAACAAGGUCCACAUACGGUGCCUUCGGAAAGUAUUCAGACCCCAUGACUUUUUCCACAUUUUGUCACGCUACAACCUUAUUCUAAAAUUGAUUUAAAAAAUAUUUUCCUCAUCAAUCUACAUACAAUACCCCAUAAUGACAAAGCAAAAACAGGUUUAUAGAAAUGUUUGCAAAUUUAUAAAAAGUUAAAAAUUGUUGAGACCCUUUGCUAUGAGACUGUAAAUUGAGCUCGGGUGCAUCCUGUUUCCAUUGAUCAUCCUUCAGAUGUUUCUACAACUUUAUUGGAGUCCACCUGUGCUAAAUUCAAUUGAUUUUGACAUGAUUUGGAAAGGCACACAACUGUCUAUAUAAAGGUCCCACCGUUGACAAUGCAUGUCAGAACAAAAACCAAGCAAUGAGGUUGAAGGAAUUGUAGUGCUCCGAGACAGGACUGUGUUGAGGCACAGAUCUGGGGAAGGGUGGCAAAAAAAUUCUGCGACAUUGAAG